CCAUCAACUGCUCUCCCGUGUCCAGCACCUUAGGGAAGACCCAGCCCGCGCCGGUCCUUAGCCACCCUGCGACGACUUCCGGCCCGGUCUGCACCCUUGUGGUCCGCGGACUCACCUGCUGGGAUGGGAGAUGGUCAGGAUGGUCCUCACCCAGGGUCUGGACCCUCGAGCCCGCGUUUCCCGUGUCCUCAGGACCAGCACCCAUGGCAGCUGGAGGUUCGGACGCCCGAAGCCAGACCAAGCCGCGGCCAAGUGGGAGUGGCUGGUGGGAGCACCUGGUCCUCUGGGGGCACAGGCGGUGAAGUCAUAGAGAUCCCUGUGACUUCACGGGUGUGUUUGGCAGAGCGAUGGCCCACCCCGUCCCCCAACCCUGUCAGUACGUCACGGCGGUGGGCUGAGUUCGUCUUGCCGAAAGUCUUGUAUUAAAGCCUCUUGGCGGCAUAGAA